UGUUCUGGAUCCCCUGGAAUGUUCUGGAAUUCCACGGAAGGGACUUGAUCCCCUAUGGAAAGUUCUGGAAUUCCACGGAAUGUUCUGGAUCCCCUGGAAUGUUCUGGAAUUCCACGGAAGCUUCUGGAUCCUUCUGGAAUGUUUUGGUCCCUUCUGGAAGCUUCUGGAUCCACUGG